rnacentral:tRNA from 2 species
GCCGGCCUAGCUCAAUAGGUAGAGCAACUGACUUGUAAUCAGUAGGUUGGGGGUUCAAGUCCUCUGGCCGGCACCA